rnacentral:rRNA from 1 species
GACGAACCGUGCGAACGUUAUUCGGAAUCACUGGGCGUAAAGGGCGCGUAGGCGGGGAGGUAAGUCGGGGGUGAAAUCCCUCGGCCCAACUGAGGAACUGCGCCCGAGACUGCUUCUCUUGAGUCCCGGAGAGGAAGAUGGAAUUCCCGGUGUAGCGGUGAAAUGUGUAGAGAUCGGGAGGAACACCGGUGGCGAAGGCGGUCUUCUGGACGGUGACUGACGCUGAGGCGCGAAAGCGUGGGGAGCAAACGGG